ACGCACGCUGGCGGCGUGCUUAACACCUGCAAGUCGCACGGAAAGGCCCUGCUUUUGUGGGGUGCUCGAGUGGCGAACGGGUGAGUAACACGUGAGUAACCUGCCCUUGACUUUGGGAUAACUUCAGGAAACUGGGGCUAAUACCGGAUAGGAGCUCCUGCUGCAUGGCGGGGGUUGGAAAGUUUCGGCGGUUGGGGAUGGACUCGCGGCUUAUCAGCUUGUUGGUGGGGUAGUGGCUUACCAAGGCUUUGACGGGUAGCCGGCCUGAGCGGGUGACAGGCCACAUUGGGACUGCGAUACGGCCCAGACUCCUACGGGGGGCAGCCGUGGGGAAUAGUGCACAAUGGGCGGAAGCCUGAUGCAGCAACUCCGCGUGCUGGAUGACGGCCUUCGGUUUGUAGCCCGCUUUCGCCUGUGACGAAGCGUGAGUGUCGGUAAUGGGUAGAGAAGCACCGGCUAACUACGUG
rnacentral:rRNA from 1 species